UCUCCGUUGGUGAACCAGCGGAGGGAUCAUUACAGGACUCGCAAGACUCCUACAACCCUGUGAACUUAACUAUAAGCACGUUGCUUCGGCGGGUGUCUCGGAGGGGGUUCUCCCUCCCCGAGACGCUAAACCCGCCGGCAGCCUACUAUACUCUGUCUCUUUGCGUUGGCAUCUCGAGUACAAUCAAACAAGUUAAAACUUUCAACAACGGAUCUCUUGGUUCUGGCAUCGGUGAAGAACGCAGC
rnacentral:misc_RNA from 1 species